rnacentral:rRNA from 1 species
GACGAACGCUGGCGGCGUGCCUAACACAUGCAAGUCGAGCGGAAAUAAUUAAAGUUUACUUUGAUUAUUUUAGCGGCGGACGGGUGAGUAACACGUGGGCAACCUGCCCUUGAGAGGGGGAUAACACAGAGAAAUUUGUGCUAAUACCGCAUAACAUUUAGACUUCGCCUGGAGUUUAAAUCAAAGGAGUAAUCCGCUCAAGGAUGGGCCCGCGGCGCAUUAGCUAGUUGGUGAGGUAAUGGCUCACCAAGGCGACGAUGCGUAGCCGACCUGGGAGGGUGAUCGGCCACAUUGGAACUGAGACACGGUCCAGACUCCUACGGGAGGCAGCAGUGGGGAAUAUUGCGCAAUGGGGGAAACCCUGACGCAGCAACGCCGCGUGAGCGAUGAAGGCCUUCGGGUUGUAAAGCUCUGUCUUUGGGGACGAUAAUGACGGUACCCAAGGAGGAAGCCACGGCUAACUACGUGCCAGCCGCCGCCGUAACAC